AUUGAACGCUGGCGGCAUGCCUUACACAUGCAAGUCGAACGAGUGGCGAACGGGUGAGUAAUACAUCGGAACGUGCCCUGUAGUGGGGGAUAACUAGUCGAAAGACUAGCUAAUACCGCAUACUAUAGGAGCGGCCGAUGUCUGAUUAGCUAGUUGGUGGGGUAAAGGCCUACCAAGGCGACGAUCAGUAGCUGGUCUGAGAGGACGAUCAGCCACACUGGGACUGAGACACGGCCCAGACUCCUACGGGAGGCAGCAGUGGGGAAUUUUGGACAAUGGGGGCAACCCUGAUCCAGCAACGCCGCGUGCGGGAUGACGGCCUUCGGGUUGUAAACCGCUUUCAGCCAUGACGCGGUAGUGGCAGAAGAAGCACCGGCUAACUACGUGCCAGCAGCCGCGGUAAUAC
rnacentral:rRNA from 1 species